GUCCUGCUCACAGAGAGAGAGAGAGAGAGGAGGAGGAAGGAGGCUGCUGUCUGAAUCAGCACUUCAUUCUUUUCUUUCUCUCUCUCCCUCUCUGUGUCAUAUUUUCUUUUAUUAACUACUAAAGGUGGUGUGGGAGACUGCACUACCUCCAUUCCUCUAUCCUUCAUUUCACAUUCUUCCCCCUCUCUCGUUCGCUCUUUCUUUCUCCCCCCACCUCGAUGCCCCACUCUCUCACGAUGAAGAGAUGAAGAGCAAUGAAUAGAGGACAUGAAGACAGUGUGUGCGGCAGCGUUGAAAAGGGAGGACAGCACACCUGGAUUCGGAAGCAUAUCUCUCUUCGCUCUCUUUUUCCUCCCAACUCUUAGCUCUCAACACAGGCUGCUUUUUUCGGCGCCAAGAGUCACAGACAUGGAAAGGAUUAUAGAUUUUCUUUGAAAAUUAAUUUGCAUUCUGCUUUAUGGACUACCAAAGCAAAGCGAAUAGAAAACUCCUUUCUACGAGAAAUUAAAAGCUUGUAAAAGAAAAUUAAUUUACUCCUGAAGUAAAAAAAGUAUAUUUCAACUUCGUUUUUUUAAGCAACUGGAAGAAAGAAAAAAAUUUGUUCUCAAAUUUGACAGAUUUUGUAUUGAAUGAGCACACCUUGUGAUUCCUAAGUCACUCUCUUCGAACUGAUACUCAAGCAUCUUAAAGAAAACUCAUUCUUCAGAACAAAAGUGGAAACUACUUUUAAAGACAAAAAUACAGGUUUACUUCUCAAUAAGCUUUGAAAAAAGUAAUUUUUUAAAAUUGGAAAAUGGAAAAAACAACCGAAGGAAAAAAAGUUGAUUAUUUCUGUGGCAAACUUAUCAAGAACACCAAGUAACCACUCAGUCUAGCCUGUGAGCCAUCGCAGAACAGGAGAAGAAAAGGCAGAAUUUUUUCUUUUCUUAGCAUUUUUUUCCCCAACGAGGGCACGGUGCCAAUUUUUAAAAAGGAGGAGUUCGAGAAAAAGGGGGACUUGGCGACGGCGGGACUUUUUCAUUAUUUUUUUCCCUCUCUUUAUUCACAGAGGCUUUUCAACCGAAGAGAAGGUGGUUAAACUGUAAUCCAGUGACGCUUUGUCAGCCAGUGCUUGCUGAUUUUCUCAUUGAUUGGCUGUCUACUUCAGACACUCUCCCUCUCGCUCUCUCGCUCCCUCUUUCUCUCUCUCACUGUCUUUCUCCGCACUGUUGGUUAGGGUGGGAGCAGUUUUUUUCCCAGCCUAGAGAGUCUAGGAAAGCAGGAAAUAAGCAAGUUGAGCGCCAUAUUUGACAGUAGGAGUGACCUCCCUGGCAGCAGCAGCGGGCGAUGUCCGGGUUCACUUUCGCCUGCUUCUGCGGCCUGCACAGCUUCUGCAACAAGAAGCCGAAAAAAAAACAAGAGCGGCAACGUGAGCAGGAGACGGUGGUGUGACUGAGCCACGCGCACCUGCUGGGGGCGCCACUGAGCUCUCCCUGCCCCACCCUGCUGUCAACUCAAACCACACUGCCCUCCAGUGACUGCUCAACUGAGAGCUCAGUGCACUGCGAUCACCCAGGGCAGUGAGGGAGGGGUUUGUAACCUCCAAGGUGAGGUCACCAGGUUUGUUACCACAGUGAUUUCAAAUCCUAGUGCUCGGGGAAACCACUAACCAAAGCCCAUUAGGGUUGCCACCUAUCCCUGUCUUCCCUGCAUAGUUCUGGUUUUCUGGAAGGCGUCCCAGGAUUUCAAUAUGCCUUCCCAGGACACUAAGAGUUCCUGGUUUUUAAAAUGAUCCCGUUUUUAAUCUUAUACUUCCAUAUAGAUAUACUACAGCAAUGCCAGUACUGUAAGUUAGAUCAAUCAAGAUCUUAUAUCAUUGCUGCAAUAGAUGCACUAUAUUAAUUGGUUGUCAACACUACAAUUGUAAUGUUAUCAGUGUUACCUAUUGGAUGGCUGUAGGAUUUCUAGACAGUUUAAACUUUUAAAACCGUUCUGUUCAGAUGUCCCAGUUUUUGUGCCUCGGAGGUGGUAACCCUAAAGCUCAUAUGCCAAGCAAUUUUUACAAAACUUUUUCUGGGACAUUUUAAAGCAAGUGGUCGCCUACAACAAGGUGCUUGGUAAGUAUGUAGAAGCACCAUGCCCAAAAGUUGCCUCAUGUUUCAUGGGCAUAAGUUGAAGCCAUAAUAAAUGCAAGGCUAGUGAAGAACAGGCAGCUUGUUCCUGCUACUUUUAAACGAAUUUGCUGGUGUUGCCAUUCAUAGGACAAGCAAAGAUCAAGUGAUAAAAGUCAUAAUUUGUGGUUUGAGAAUCUCAAAUAUAGCUGCUUUUAAAGGUGCCAGAAAAACCCUGGAAAGUUGUCUUGUGUUUUUGGCUAAUGUCUUCAAGUAGAAGUACUCUAUAGUGACCCUAAGGUCAUUGCUUUAAUAUUGUAAUUGAACACAUUUAUUUCCAGGAUCUGUUCAAAGCUUGAAUUCACUCAUUUAACAAAGUCUCGACAUUAUGCCUAUACUGUGUGUACAUUGUGAUGUAUGAUUUCAUAUAAAACAUACCGCUUAUAAAGGUUCUCUGCGGUAUUGUGUACAACAGCAAAAGCACGAAGAUGCAGGGAAGGAUGGUAAAAGACAAAAAAUAUGGUGUAACAUUUACCAUGGAAAACCUUUAUAAGGGCAAUAAAACAAAUUAUUCUUCAAGCUGACAGUUCAUGCAGUUCAUAAAGUACUUAAUGAAAUGCAUGACUAGACAAACUAAUACAAGUCCUGGUUGAAAGCUGCAGUUUGCUAGUGGUUCCCAUGGACUGGGGUUAGGGAUCACUGUGCUUAAGCACACAGGAUAAAGGUCUGGAGUUUUAAAAUAAUAUGUUGGUGUCUGUACAACAUCGCCAUUGCCCUUUAGCAGUUCAGUUAUUCCAAUACUGGGGUCUAUUUAAUUGAUUCAAUGCAAGCUCUGGUUAAGCAUUCAAUUAUUUACUUUUAAAGACAGUCCCACACAAUGCUGGAUAUGUGUCAAUAUCCUGUUCUUUUAAACAGUAUGAUCAAACUAAAGAAAGAUAAAAAAAAAACCACAAACACAAAGAAAAACAUAUUGGGAAGACAACCAGACUGAUCUGAAAUGACAGCAUUGCGGGAGUAGACUUAAUGUCACAGAUAGCUAGCAAUACAAACGUGUGUGUGUGUGUGUGUGUGUGUGUGUGUGUUUGUAACGUCAAUCUAACACCCUUCAUUCACAGUCACGUUUUUAUUGUAGUGUGAGUGGAGUCUGACGAUAUUGGCCCACAUCCAUUUGUGCUGGAUUCGCAAUGUAAGACAGCACUGUACUUCACAUUCACAUUGGAUUGUAAAAAAAGUUCUGUCUGUGGAUCCAGCAUUAUUGCACGAUUUCCAAAAACAAUUCCUGUCUUCUCCAUUUAAACGGUGAUCGCUGUCAGCUUUCUUUUGUUUUAUAGUGUAAUAUUAAUACUUAAAUUUAAUCUGAAAGGUGCUCAAAUGACCAAUUCUCCAGUUAGAAUCGGUUUUAAAUGUUAUAUAACCUAUUUUACCUUUGCACACAGCACAUCCUUGUGGCCAUAUGAUGCCUUGCAAAUUUUCGAUUACAUGUCAGCUUAUUUUCAAUUGGCAAGGUCCUGAAAGAUCUUCCAUGUUCAUUUUACAAAGGUUACUUUGAAAUAUCUCAGGAUCAACUUUCCUGCAUGUCUCCAACUGCAACAUUAUGGCACCAGGUUUCUGAAUCAGCACGUGUCUAAUCAUCUUGAACCUGUUUAUAAGCUGACCAGAUUUUUCCAAUUAUCCCCCCCCCCCCCC